rnacentral:miRNA from 1 species
CGUGAGAUUUGUUUCUGC